GACGAACGCUGGCGGCGUGCUUAACACAUGCAAGUCGAACGGAAAGGCCCUGCUUUUGUGGGGUGCUCGAGUGGCGAACGGGUGAGUAACACGUGAGUAACCUGCCCUUGACUUUGGGAUAACUUCAGGAAACUGGGGCUAAUACCGGAUAGGAGCUCCUGCUGCAUGGUGGGGGUUGGAAAGUUUCGGCGGUUGGGGAUGGACUCGCGGCUUAUCAGCUUGUUGGUGGGGUAGUGGCUUACCAAGGCUUUGACGGGUAGCCGGCCUGAGAGGGUGACCGGCCACAUUGGGACUGAGAUACGGCCCAGACUCCUACGGGAGGCAGCAGUGGGGAAUAUUGCACAACGGGCGGAAGCCUGAUGCAGCAACGCCGCGUGCGGGAUGACGGCCUUCGGGUUGUAAACCGCUUUCGCCUGUGACGAAGCGUGAGUGACGGUAAUGGGUAAAGAAGCACCGGCUAACUGCGUG
rnacentral:rRNA from 1 species